GACGAACGCUGGCGGCGUGCUUAACACAUGCAAGUCGAACGGAAAGGCCCUGCUUUUGUGGGGUGCUCGAGUGGCGAACGGGUGAGUAACACGUGAGUAACCUGCCCUUGACUUUGGGAUAACUUCAGGAAACUGGGGCUAAUACCGGAUAGGAGCUCCUGCUGCAUGGUGGGGGUUGGAAAGUUUCGGCGGUCGGGGAUGGACUCGCGGCUUAUCAGCUUGUUGGUUGGGUAGUGGCUUACCAAGGCUUUGACGGGUAGCCGGCCUGGGAGGGUGACCGGCCACAUUGGGACUAAGGUACGGCCCAGACUCCUACGGUGGGCAGCGGUGGGGAGUAUUGCACAGUGGGCGGAAGCCUGAUGCAGCAGCGCCGCGUGCGGGAUGACGGCCUUCGGGUUGUAAACCGCUUUCGCCUGUGACGAAGCGUGAGUGACGGUAAUGGGUAAAGAAGCACCGGCUAACUACGUG
rnacentral:rRNA from 1 species